rnacentral:pre_miRNA from 1 species
AACGUUUCGAAUCUGUGCUGAGAUUUCGUCAGACACCAACCCAUUAGGGCUGAUCAGACUUUCAAGAUAAGUGAAGUU